UUGUCUUUGGAUCAAUUUGUUGUAGCAGCUCAACAAUCUCACAUUCCUCGACUACAGAAUGAAUGUGCAAAACAGCCUUAUAGCCAGCUGUAAAAAUUGCAUUGUCCAGCAAUUCAAGGAUUUGCAACUGAGCAACAAAUUCUGUAACUGCAGCUAUUGGCUUUGCAACACUUGACAAGACAAAACCUGCUAAUAUAUCCUCAUCAUCAAUCCCAGAUAAUCUAACACGAAGAUUUUCUCCAGGCCCUGC
rnacentral:misc_RNA from 1 species